rnacentral:rRNA from 1 species
CCUACGGGAGGCAGCAGCGGGGAAUUUUGGACAAUGGGGGAGACCCUGAUCCAGCCAUCCCGCGUGUAUGAUGAAGGCCUUCGGGUUGUAAAGUACUUUUGGCAGAGAAGAAAAGGUAUCUCCUAAUACGGGAUACUGCUGACGGUAUCUGCAGAAUAAGCACCGGCUAACUACGUGCCAGCAGCCGCGGUAAUACGUAGGGUGCAAGCGUUAAUCGGAAUUACUGGGCGUAAAGCGUGUGUAGGCGGUUCGGAAAGAAAGAUGUGAAAUCCCAGGGCUCAACCUUGGAACUGCAUUUUUAACUGCCGAGCUAGAGUAUGUCAGAGGGGGGUAGAAUUCCACGUGUAGCAGUGAAAUGCGUAGAUAUGUGGAGGAAUACCGAUGGCGAAGGCAGCCCCCUGGGAUAAUACUGACGCUCAGACACGAAAGCGUGGGGAGCAAACAGGAUUAGAUACCCUGGUAGUCCACGCCCUAAACGAUGUCAACUAGCUGUUGGGGCCGUUAGGCCUUAGUAGCGCAGCUAACGCGUGAAGUUGACCGCCUGGGGAGUACGG